AGGUGACAAACUUUUCAUUGAAAAUCUGUUAAAAAAUAGCAACAGAGUGAAACCCUGUCCCCCACAAAAAACAAAAAAGAAAAAAGUUAAACUAUAAGGUAGAGCCUGGAGAGUGUGACUAUAUUAACAUCAUGGAGAAAACGAUUUAUACAAAAUACCUUGUGGAUCAGCAUCUGCAUAAGAAAACACUUACAAUGCUUGAAAAUCAAGAUACCGUAUGAGCAUGAGGAGGAGAAGGAUGCAGAGGAAAAAGAGUCAAUGCUGUAGACCCUCAUAGUUAGUAUCUACCGACAUGAAGAUGGAUAAUCAGGAAGCGGUAAGGGUGGUGACAUCAUUUGCCUCCAUGUCUGUCUUAAUGGGUAACUGUG
rnacentral:lncRNA from 1 species